GACGAACGCUGGCGGCGUGCUUAACACAUGCAAGUCGAACGGAAAGGCCCUGCCUUUGUGGGGUGCUCGAGUGGCGAACGGGUGAGUAACACGUGAGUAACCUGCCCUUGACUGUGGGAUAACUUCAGGAAACUGGGGCUAAUACCGGAUAGGAGCUCCUGCUGCAUGGUGGGGGUUGGAAAGUUUCGGCGGUUGGGGUAGGACUCGCGGCUUAUCAGCUUGUUGGUGGGGUAGUGGCGUACCAAGGCUUUGACGGGUAGCCGGCCUGGGAGGGUGACCGGCCCCAGUGGGCCUGAGAAGGGACCAGGAGGGCAACGGGAGCCAGCGAUGGGAGAUUGUGCGAGAUAGGCGGCAGGCGGAUGGAGGGUCGCCGCGUGGGGGAUGACGGCUUUCGGGGUAGAAACCGUUUUCGCCUGUGACGAAGCGUGAGUGACGGUAACGUGUAAAGAAGCACCGGCUAACUACGUG
rnacentral:rRNA from 1 species